UUGAAUAUACCGCCGUGUGACGCAAAUUUAUUAAAAAUAUGUGUAUUUGCCCCAUGAAGCAAUAAUUAAAGGUGAUGUAAGUAGCCUAAUUUCACCCUGUGUUAGCCAUCUUGAAGCUACUUAAUAAAUCCGUGUUGUCCUCUUGGAAAAGCUACUUUUUAUUUCAGAGCAAAUUCUAAAGAAAAAGUACUCAAAAGCGUAGAAAUUAAAAUUUUUGCUGAAAAAGUUAGCAGGCAAUACUGUUUUGCCUAUUCCAUUUUGCUUAGACUUUCGCAUCUUUCAAUUCUAUUGAAAGUUCUGUGAAAAUUACAUUACAAUUGUGCUUAUCAUUGCGAUAAAUAGCUACCAUAUAGCCACAUUUAGGUGUGAUUAGAGCCCGUUGCUGCGAUCCUACAGUUGUGCUUUUCAUUGAUCGGAUAGACAAGCAGUUAUCAAGGUCACCUCGGAUAUAUGGGAAAACUUCAAAAUAAAGUGCGAGGACUUAUACAGACUGAACGAGCUGGCGAGUACAAUCACUACAAUACUCCAAUUAUGUGGGUGCCAUGAAAGAACGGAAAAAAUAAAGAAAUAUUUCAAAGAAGUACUUUGGUGAAGAAAUUCAUUCAUUUGAAAAUCUUCAGCAGUCUAAAAUGUUCAUUAACGUCCCACAUAGACCAAACUUCAAAUUUCUUUUUACUAUUGACGAACUGUUUUAACAGUUGCUCUCUAGAUCCUAAAAGCUGAAGUGGAA